ACUGGCCCUCGAGGUUGCUCCUAAAACCCUGCCUUGUGCAAGCAGUGCCUGGUGUGUUGGGGGGCACAGCAGGAGCAGGGCUGGUCCCCAGGUUCCUGCAGGAGGGCAGCGUGGGGGCUCCUCAUGGGCAGCUUUCCAGCUUGCAGCUUUUCUGCUCCCAUUGAAACGAGGAUUUGGCAGGUGCCUGACACUGCAGUUGCUUUACUGCUCCUGUUCUGGGAGAGAACACCACCAACCGAGCCCAUCCGCAGGUGCUUUGAUACCUGAAUCAACAUGCAGAGGGGGCUUCGUCAGAUGUUCCUCAUGUAUUCCUGCACGACAUGUAUGUCAUAUCGCUGGUGCUUGUGCGUGUUUCCUGGCUAUAUCGUUAUUUUUGACACACCCUGCUGACUGGGAAAUGCAGUGAGAAAAUACCUGACUCUGUUCUUCCCAGCAGGUAACAAAUCAGCGAAUUAUAAAAAACCAGUGUGUGGUCCAGCCUGAGUACGUUUCUUUCCUACUACUGCUAUUGUUUAUGUUCCUACAGGGAUUGUCUCUGACGCACGACUGGGAAUGCUUAAGGGAUGACCAGCAGCUGCUGAAGUGGAUCUGGGUCGUCCCCACGUGGGGACAGCCCUCAGGUGCCGCUCUCCAUGCUGGCAGCGCUGUGUUUAACCCAGGCGGCUGAUACCAGGACCCAGACCCCACUGUCUGCCCCUCGCAAGGUGCUCAGCAUCUCCCCAGCCCUCACCCCCUGGGGACCGUCGCAUCCUGCACCCGCUGCUGCAGGUGAGCUGCAGCCCAGGCAGCGCUCCCGGAGCAGCAGCCGGUGAGGGGCAGCGGGGCUGAGCGCCGCAGGCCGGGGCUGGUGCUGGCUGUGCACGUGAAACCCAGCAGCUGACUUCGUGGGAGCAGCAACCGGAGCAGGAAGAGCGGCAGUAGGUUCAACACAGACUCAUAACUUGUGCUUUCUGCCGGCAAAUGCUCUGGACUGCAGCUGGGAACGGUGCCAGGGGGACUCAGGAAGGAAUCUUUCAGAGCUGAAUGUCUUUUUCAGAGCAGACUCUAACUCUGGGCUCAUAAUCCUGAAUUCAAGCAGACUGUUGCCUUUGCUAUUCUUUCAGGCUCUUUGUUUUGAUCAAAGAGGCAAUGCUGUAUAAUUUAAGAAAGACUUCGCUUGCGAGGCCGGUUUGAUGCAUGUGGAGCAGCAAUGUGGAAAAAUACAGCCCUUGCCCAUGGAAGCCAGCUUGGAUAAUUUGAGUCACUUGAGGAGAUGUUAUUUGCCGUGACUCAAUUCGAUUUGUGCGGCUGGGUGACAACGUACCGACGCGCGGUAAUGAAGUGCAGCCCCCCUGCUCCGCACCCUGAUGCCAGAGCGGCUUCCACGGCACGGCCCCAAUGCCUGGGGAGGGCUGGGGGGCAUGGAAACCUCUGCCUCUGGGGCAGGAGCAAGCAGCAGAAGGCUGAAAGCAGCCGGCACGUGGUGGUGCCCGGCAGAGCUGCUCUGGUUGCACCAGGCAGGUCCUCGCCAGGAGACGUGGUGGCCUCUGCCCGUGAUGCUGGGGAGCAGCUGCAGUGUGACGGGGGGGGAGCUGCAGCCUGCCUCGCGCUGCAGACACUCUAGAAAAGCCCCGGCUAGAGGGAUGGGAACGCUUCUGAAUGUAGAUGCUGUAGAAGACAUUUUGCGCUGGGAAAAACUGAAAGGAUGCGCCUCUGGGGGGAACAGGCUAAUCCUCCCAUGUGUCACUGUCAGGAAAACAUUAGGCUGUAGCUGUAAGGGCUCCUGUUUUGUUGCACCCUUCCCUCCCUACCUUUCCUAAUGAAUUCCAAGAAAGCUUCAAUGCAUUCUUAAAUGGGAAACGCCGCGCUAUGUCCUUCACAGCCAUCUACACAAUAAAGACAGCCAUUUCACCGCUGGCAGGCAUGGGCUCCUCUGUGGGCUGGAAACAAAAGCUGAAAAGAAGCCUUUAUAUUUUUUUUGAUUAGAUAGCUUGAAAAGUUUGCUUUUAAUUGAAAUUGCCUUACUGAUUUUAUCUAAAAGUCAGCUAUAAACCCCCUUCUGGGAGAGCAGCUCCAGCUCCUCACCGACGAGAUGGCUGCACGGAUCCUGCGCUGCCUCCCGUGGGGGGUGCGGCUCCGAGGGCCCAGGAGCAGCAGUAAUCCUCGUCCUUCAGGAUGUGGCACUCAGUUUGGAGACCCGAAGCAGGUUUCUCUCUCCACGCAGUGAGCAGUGCUAUUGCCCACCACGCUGGUGAAUGGCAGGGAGCCAGGGCUCUGCCUGCAGCAUCCCGCCGAGCCCCUGUCCCCCCGCAUCCAUCCUUGUACAACUGUGCCAAGGAGUGUCAGAUUCGGUUCCGGGCCGCAGACACCCGUGCAGCACGCCAACAGGCCCCAUGGGACCCGCAGCACCCACGGGCACCUCGUGCCCGCUGAUGCGGUGGCUGCGGUGCUGCUCCUUGCGUCUCCUCUGCCCGCUCCGGGCAUGUGUGCAAAGAAACUACUUUGAAUUCCUUUUUGAAGGAACGAAUGAGGGAGAAAAAUUAUCAGGGGAAAUUUAUUUUGGGGCAAUUCUGAAUACAGCACAAAGACAAAUUGAAAUAUUUCCCUGUAACAGCGCAGGCUGGGGAUGGAGUCUCGGAUAAAAAUAAAGUGGGAUGCAACAGCACCUUUCCAAUGGCAUUAGCCCCAUUCAUCUCCCGGAUGAUGCCGCAGCCGUUUCGCUGGCAGUGUACAAAGGCAUUAGGAGUUACAUUUUCCUUCGCUAUUUCUCAACUAUAUUUAUGCUGUGAGAUGUUUGUGGAGGUACAUUGUGUGCCUCGGGCAGAGGAUUAAUUCCAAACUGUCACCUUGCUUUUUGAUGGGUUUGUAAAUUCUGCUCUGUUGAUUUGUGCUCUCAGUAAAUUGAUAAAAUCCUCUUCCUACAACCUGAUACACCAUUUAGAGCUCGCCGGGGCUUUAGACCCCAUUGGCUAACGUGUUUAUGUAAAUAUAGUGUCCAACAGCAAUUUUAUAAGUGCUGCGUGGAUAAUCUGGAUGGGUGAUAAGGGGCAAAAGGAAUGAAGCUUUUGGUCAGGGUUUGGUGCGCUUUGGCAAGCCGGGCUCCCACCCAGCACCACCCUGUACCCCUGGGUGCCAGCAGCAGCCGGGCUGCCCGGGGGUGCAGCAGCAGCGUGGUGCAAGCCGAGGGGCUCCCACGGCCACCCAGGACAGGUGUCUGCUCCCAGCAGCAACGCAGACCCCGCCUCACCUGCAGCUUUUGGCUACGGGCAGGGAAAAGCUCUGGGAAGGACAUGCUGGGGGCUGGGGUUUGGGGUGGCUUUGCAGACAGGUGGCUGCUUCAGGGAUCUGACCCUCUGCACCAGAGCUGACCGGCCCUGGUGGUGCUGGGAACCAUCCGGUGGUGCUGGGGCAUGACCUGGUGGUGCUGGGAACCGUCUGACAUCUCAGGAUGCUCUUGGGGUUGAGAGCAGAGCUCUGUAUCCCACCCCAGGGGACCCACAGAGCAGGAGCACGUCUCAGCAGAGGGGCAGGCAAGCUAAUGCCCUGAGACAAGGGAUCAGAUCUGUAACCGUUGCUAGCAUCAUUUACCUUAUUUUAAUUCCUUCCCUUGUUUCUACCCUGUGUAAAGGGGGAAAAACUGGAGGUGUGUCCACGUGGCGAUCUGACAUGCUGCACUCGCAGAGCUCCUUGUUGCAGUCAGGAUGAUGCUGACGUGCUGGGAACUCUGGGAGGCCUUUAGGGAUGGCACAACAGCGGUCCUUCCAUUUAGGGACUCGGUAUCUUGGCAAAUGGAAGUUUAUGGCUGUCAGGAAUAGUCCGGUUUUUACUGAAAUUGACUUUAAAUCAUCAUCAGAAAAUGCAAGCCCAAUGCCUGUGCAUUGUCAUGGAGCCCCAUUGUCAGGGGAAGAGCUGUAGGGCUUCAGGAGUGCGGUGGAAAGGAUAUCAGAAAUGAUUUUCUCCUGUAUUGUCCCCCAGCCGCCGAUCUACUAGAGAUGAAGGAUCUCAUCCACCAAAUGUUGACAUGCUCCAUUAAUCCACCCUAAAAAGUCAGAUGGAGAUUCUCCCUUGAAUUUUAAAUAUUUUCCGCCAUUCCGACUAGCUCUGAAAUCACCCCGAAUCGCCCUAUUUCCUGAAUGUUCUUUCACUGCCCCCGCGUUAUUCCCAUUCCAUUAUGCCUGGAUGCUCAGACUAAUUUACUGCCUUUAUCAGCUCACUGCAUUGCUCGCAGAACUACACCAGCUCCAACAGCGACUGCUGCGAGACCUUUGGGGAGCCCCCCGUGCCGCCCCCUCUCCUUCCUCGCCCUGGGGGUCCUGCAGCAGACUCGCCCCGAUGUGCCCAGCCCCGCGGCAGCCCCCCAGUCACGGCGGCACCGAGCACUUCCCAGCACCCCGACCGUCCCCUCCCGGCCCCGGGCCCUGCUCCUGGCCCAGGACGUGCGCACGUGCAAGACGGGCAGACGUGGCAGCCCUUUUGCU